UAGGGAAUCUUCGGCAAUGGACGAGAGUCUGACCGAGCAACGCCGCGUGAGUGAAGAAGGUUUUCGGAUCGUAAAACUCUGUUGGUAGAGAAGAACGUUGGUGAGAGUGGAAAGCUCAUCAAGUGACGGUAACUACCCAGAAAGGGACGGCUAACUACGUGUCAG
rnacentral:rRNA from 1 species